GGAGAGAGAACAUCUCCACACAUUUUGUCACUUUGCUCUAGUGUCAGAUCAGAUUGACAGUGAUUUAAAGAGAGAGAGAGAAGGGUAUUUUCAUGCAUUUCUCUGUCUUGAAGAGCCCAAACCCCUGCAUUCCAAGAUAGAGAAGAAGUCACGGUCCUCCAGGAUCCUCUAUCAGGACCCAUCAGUCUCAACCUCCCCCUGGCCUACUCAGGUGGGUUCACUUAGACACAUCAAACAGGCUUACACCCAAAACAAAAUAGAAUAAGAUAUUACAACUUGUGUAAUUUUGAUUGUUAAAAAUGUUAAGUUUUGUUAAUUGUAAAAAAAAAAAUGUAUCCUGGCUGUACGUGGUUCCAAAGUUCGUCUGCAGUCCAUUUUGUGAGUGUAUUCAUCAUCAUUUUUUAAAUUCAAUUGAAUAAUGUAUUCUGAAUAUCCAAACAAGUUGUUUUGUAUGGGAGGGCAGCUAUAUUAUCUCUAAGCCAGUCAUCAUUACAGUAAGUAAUGGAUGAAAUUAGGAAGUAUACAGUACUGUACAACUUUCACCUUUUUUCAUUUUGCUUCAUACGUCACAGCCCUAGAUAUGGACAGCACAACAGGAUUCGCCCGGACCCCUGUCAAUCACAACCACACCAACAGCAGCUGUUCCCGUGACAACGUGCUGAAGACUGUGGUGUUUCCUGUUCUCUACUCCCUCCUCUUCCUGUUGGGCCUGUCCCUCAACGGCCUGGCAGUGUGGGUGUUCUUCAGCAUCCCCAGCCGCUCCCACUUCAUCAUCUACCUCAAGAACAUUGUGGUGGCCGACGUCCUCAUGACCCUCACCUUCCCCUUCAAGGUGCUGUCUGACUCCAACAUGGCGUCCGUGGGUCUGCGUGUCUUCGUCUGUCGUGUCUCCUCUGUGCUCUUCUAUCUCACCAUGUACAUCAGCAUCCUCUUCUUUGGCCUCAUCAGCAUCGACCGCUGCAGGAAGACCCUCCAGCCCUUCAAGGGGACCAACGCGGCUCGUCUGUCCCACAGGAAACUGCUCUCUGGGGUUAUCUGGUGCUCCCUGCUGGCCCUCUCCUUGCCCAACAUGGUCCUGACCAGCCGCAGCCCCACCUCAGUCUACUUCAAGUGCAGUGAUCUGAAGACGGCGGCUGGGCUGCAUUGGCAUGAGGUGGUCAACCACGUGUGCCAGGUCAUCUUCUGGGGCAACCUGGUGACGGUGAUAGUGUGUUAUGCCCUCAUCACCAAAGAGCUGUACAGUUCCUACGCCCGCGCCAACGCUUACUGUGCUGGUGGAGCCAGCAGAGCUGGUACUGGUAAAGGACAGCGCCAGCCCCAGAGAAAGACUGUGAGUUCAAACGUCUUCCUGGUGCUGGCUGUGUUCUUUGUGUGCUUCGUGCCGUUCCAUUUCUCCCGCGUGCCGUACACCAUGAGCCAGACGCGGGGACGCAUGUUUGACUGUAACCUCAAGCUGUUCUUCUUCCAAUUAAAGGAGAGUACACUCUGGCUGUCCUCCCUCAACUCCCUCCUGGACCCUCUCAUCUACUUCUUCCUCUGUAAGUCCUUCAGGACCACCCUGUUCAAGACGCUCCGUCUCCCACCUGGGACCUGUAGCUGGCUCACUGGGAGAGGGCCGGACCCCAACACAGGCAGUACCCCUCUGGGAGACUCCUCUGCUUGACUGUAGCGAACUAAAGCUCUCUUCUGAAGGACUUCCAUGUAUUGUGGUCUGAUGAAUGUUUCACAGAGGAUCAUACUGCCCUCUACUGUAAGGCUGACGGAAACAUCAACUGUGUGUUGAUUGUAGCUCUGUCUGGGCAAUGGAAAGAGUAGAGUAGGAAACUCUGCACAGACCAGUGAUAAUUACAAUAAUAUGCAAACCAGUCUGUAACACCAGUCUGUAACACCAGUCUGUAACAUUUUGUAGAAUGUCAUAACCCCCUCUAAAUAACCUCAUGCCAAAGGAAAUCACCUAAUCACCAUGUCUGUCUCAUAACAGCUUAGUUCCCCAUACCGGCAUUCUGCUUUGACCUCGUUCUUUUUUAGGCUUCAGGAACUGAAAUAAGAGAUAUGUAAUUAUGUGUAACCAUGGCACAGCACGUAUGCCUAUAAUGGACAGCAAAACGUCCUGUACUACAUAAACUUGUGAAAUCUAAAUAUUUUUUUCUCUCCCAUUCGUUGAUCCAUGUCUUUAACCAUUCUUCAACAAAACAAUAUGAUACUGAGGGAAAAAUCCCCUGAUUUCUCGGAUGCAUUGAAAGCCAGAUGUGCUGUAUGUUUAGACAGACAGUAUACAACCUUUUAACAGAUGGCCUAAGGGCAGGUGGGAGGGAGGCUGCUACUUACUGCUGUACAGUGACCACAGAGGAACCUAGAAAAACAAGCUGUGAGUGGCCGAAGGCUUUCCGUGGAAGUAGCAAGAUGUGAAACAACACCAGUAAAAACCACACUGCGAAAGACAGCUGAAAGUUAACGUGAAAACAAUAGUUCAUGUGAAAGAAAUGGUGUGUGUGCAUGAGAGAGAGAAACAUGGGAUCAACACGUCUGAUCUUUUAAAUAAUAAUUAGUUCCAGGAUAGAAAAUGUAAAAAAAACACCAACCUCCCUGUGAAAAUAUAACAAACAUACAGAAACUCCCUAACCUGCCGAAUCCAGGUCACUGGUAGGGGAAAUACCAUCUGCAUGGGCAGAUGCUAACAGCAGCAGUUCCAUCAGUCCCAUCAUAUGGCUCAGGUGGUAGAACAUGGCUCUUGCAAUGCCAAAAUUGUGGGUUUGAUUCCUGGGUCACCCACACACAAAAUAUAUGCAUGCAUGACUGUCAGUAACUUUGGAUAAAAUCAUCUGCUAAAUUGCAUGAUAUUGUUAUAUUAUAAGAAGUUUGACAAACAAGGGUGGCUUUUUUUUCAGUUGUGGUCAAAAAGCCAAAGAUAUUGAUAACUAACCCUGUGCGUGAGCUCUUAUUUUACCACUUCCCCAUCUUCAGGAAGUGUAUUAGGUGACGUAACAAACGCAGGCCCAAUACAUCGCAGUAACAUAUCUCACACGAAAGACAUCGUAGUGACUUUCCUCCAUGAUAAGAUGGUUUUUCUCAACUUCACCGAUUCCUCAAAACUAGUAGCCACAAUGGCAUCACAUUCCCCUCCAAAGGACUGUGGCUUUAAUGAAGAUACCUUAAAUAUGGCUAUAUCAAGUCUCUACUUCCUGUUGUUCAUCCCGGCCCUCAUCAUCAAUGGGGUAGCAGUCUGGGUCUGCAUGCAACUUCGUUCAAAGUCCACCUUCAUGGUGUAUCUGAAGAACCUUCUGGCCGCUGACCUUCUCAUGACCCUGACCAUCCCUGUCAAAGCAGCCAAUAUCCUGCCCAGCACUCCACUGACUCUGAAGGCCUUUGCCUGUCGCUACUCUGAUGUUCUUUUUUACCUCUGUAUGUACAUGAGCAUCAUUCUGUUGGGCCUCAUCAGUCUGGACCGCUUCUUCAAGAUCGUCAGGCCCUGUGGCAGGUUGUUGGGUCAGAACAUUGUCUUCGGCAAAGUGCUGGCUGCUUCCAUCUGGGUGGUGCUGUUGUCCACUGCUGUCAUUCCAACCAUGAUCCUGACCAAUCAGGAUCCCACAAACAAGACUAAACUAUUCUGUAUGGCAAUGAAGAGCAAUGCAGGACAAUAUUUCCACAGUGGCGUGGUCAAAUUAAACAACGCAAUCUUCUGGGUGGUGUGUGUUCUUAUUUGCUUCUGCUACAUGUGCAUAGCAAGGAAGGUUUUUCAAUCAUACAGGAAAUCAGGAAGCAGCAAUGACGAAGGGAGGCAUAAGACCAAAGUGCGUGUGUUUUUGGUUCUGGUGGUUUUCCUGACGUGUUUCGGACCCUACCACGCCAUACGGCUCCCCUACACCUUGCUUCAGGUUACCUCAACAACCAGCUGCACUAAGGUCACCUUACAGAUCUCUAAGGAGUUCACCUUGUGGAUGUCAGCCACGAACGUCUGUCUGGACCCUCUCAUCUACUUCUUCCUCUGUAAGCCCUUCAGGAUCACCCUGUUCAAGACGCUCCGUCUCCCACCUGGGACCUGUAGCUGGCUCACUGGGAGAGGACCCAACACAAUAGAGGAUCAGACCCCAACACAGGAGGGAGACUCCUGUGCCUGUACAGAAAAUUAAAACUCUUUGGAAAUAUCUACUUCAUGUUGUAAGAUGUUCUGUUUGACAGAGUAUAAUACUGCUACCUGGUGGAGGGUAAACUAUCCAAAGAGUUAUACUAGAAAGGAAUCCACCAGGUGUAAUGUACUAUCCUACUCUUUAUAUUAGAAAUGCUACGUUACAGCCUUAUUCUAAAACAGAAUAACUACAUUUUUACCCUCAUAAAUCUACACACAAUACCCAAUAAUGGAGGGCCGUACAGGCCCCAUUUAACAUCGGUGUGGUUGUAGUGGAGCGAGAUUCUUGGUGUCCACAUCACCAACAAACUGUCAUGGUCCAAACAUCCCAAGACAGUCGUGAAGAGGGUACUACAACGCCUUUUCGGCGUUGGGUACUCAGAUCCUCAAAAAGUUAUACAGCUGCACCAUCGAGAGCAUCCUGACCGGUUGCAUCACCGCCUGGUAUGGCAACUACCCGGCAUCUGACCGUAAGGCG